GUGUACAGAGGCUCCUCUCACGUCCGCCUGGGGUUCUAUAGGCACCUGCUUUAGGAUAUAACGUCAAAGUGAAAAACAACAAUAAAACAGCAAGAAAGGCACGUCCUUGCAAUGCAGGAUUCCUACAGUUGCGAUACCAUCCCCACUCCUUCCUGCUCGCUGACGCCGAGGCCUACAAUCCCCCGCUGACGGCCGUACUCUCCCCCACUACAGGCAGAGGAAGUUUACCGCUCUACCUUCCUGGAUUUUCUACGUGAUAUCCACCUGUUCUGUCAUAAUUAAAUAAUGGAUAACGCCACCGCCUCCUCCCCCCAUUACCAUGAACUGGAAGAUGAAUGGGUGGAUAAUAUUAUCCCAGCU